GGGUCGUGCUUCACAAAGUACUAAAGUUGAAGUCAGAAUCUCAACUGUCCCUUGUCACCUUUCUCACGGGAUCUGUGGGACACUGAGGAUGUCAGCUUGCAUCACCAAACUUCAGUGUCUCCAUUUCUCAAAGAUUCUCAGACAGAAUCCUCGGAUUCUGGACUGGAACGGCCCACAAUGCCCUGGUGGCGAGUUUCCUUGAAGACAAAUAUCAGUUAGCCACAGGAUACAAUCAGCCAUCCGCAUUGAAGGAAACAAGUCAGAAAUCUGCGGCUCUGUAAUCACAAAUUGAAAAUAACGUAAGCAUUCCAGAUGAAGUAGACAGAACUCAGAGUGAGAGGCUUAAUGUUUGAUGAGAGGCUGUGUACUAGGAAUGUAGCACAGAAGAAGUCACCAAACCAAGAAAUAUCACCCUCACUCCAAAUCAUAGUGAAACUGCAAGAAAAAUACCAGACGAAUGCUAAUGGAUGUUGUUCCAUUCGAUACAUGAUGGAAUAUGAGGCAUUAUGAAAAACUAUGGACAUGCACAAAAUGUAUGAGGCUCAGUUAACAGUCUACUGAUAACAGUUCAUCAAUCCUGAGAAAUGCACAAUCAUCUACCAAGAAGUGUUCACAGGAGAAACCAGGGCUGGACAUGUACAAUGCUCCAAUGUAUCUAAAAUUUUCUAACAAUCUUAA